UACGUAGGGUGCAAGCGUUGUCCGGAUUUAUUGGGCGUAAAGAGCUCGUAGGCGGUUUGUCGCGUCGGAUGUGAAAACCCAGGGCUCAACCCUGGGCCUGCAUUCGAUACGGGCAAACUAGAGUAUGGCAGGGGAGACUGGAAUUCCUGGUGUAGCGGUGAAAUGCGCAGAUAUCAGGAGGAACACCGGUGGCGAAGGCGGGUCUCUGGGCCGUAACUGACGCUGAGGAGCGAAAGCGUGGGGAGCGAACAGG
rnacentral:rRNA from 1 species